CGCCGUUUUAACAACAAUCACUGUCAAUCACAACCCUUUUUUGCUCCUAGUAGUGUCACUUGCAACAUAGACAGCCCGAAAAGUAUACGCACACAAACACACACACACACACAAAUCAGUAGGGGCACAUACACGCAUGAUGAUUACAAAACCCUCUAUAGCUAAUACAAAAAAGAAGAGGUUAUGAGAGGGAAAGACCUGAAAGGCAAUAAAGUAAAAGAUGGGAUA
rnacentral:lncRNA from 1 species